rnacentral:rRNA from 1 species
GACGAACGCUGGCGGCGUGCCUAAUACAUGCAAGUUGAGCGCUGAAGGUUGGUACUUGUACCGACUGGAUGAGCAGCGAACGGGUGAGUAACGCGUGGGGAAUCUGCCUUUGAGCGGGGGACAACAUUUGGAAACGAAUGCUAAUACCGCAUAAAAACUUUAAACACAAGUUUUAAGUUUGAAAGAUGCAAUUGCAUCACUCAAAGAUGAACCCGCGUUGUAUUAGCUAGUUGGUGAGGUAAAGGCUCACCAAGGCGAUGAUACAUAGCCGACCUGAGAGGGUGAUCGGCCACAUUGGGACUGAGACACGGCCCAAACUCCUACGGGAGGCAGCAGUAGGGAAUCUUCGGCAAUGGACGAAAGUCUGACCGAGCAACGCCGCGUGAGUGAAGAAGGGUUUCGGAUCGUAAAACUCGGUUGGUAGAGAAGAACGUUGGUGAGAGUGGAAAGCUCAUCAAGUGACGGUAACUACCCAGAAAGGGACGGCUAACUACGUG